CGGCGGACGGGUGAGUAACACGUGGAUAACCUACCUAUAAGACUGGGAUAACUUCGGGAAACCGGAGCUAAUACCGGAUAAUAUUUUGAACCGCAUGGUUCAAAAGUGAAAGACGGUAUUGCUGUCACUUAUAGAUGGAUCCGCGCUGCAUUAGCUAGUUGGUAAGGUAACGGCUUACCAAGGCAACGAUGCAUAGCCGACCUGAGAGGGUGAUCGGCCACACUGGAACUGAGACACGGUCCAG
rnacentral:rRNA from 1 species